CAGCACGCCUAUGAACUGGUUCGAGCAGAGAUCCCACUCGGGAUGUACCAGCUGGAAGCAGCUCUUGUGCCGUAGAAAUUCUGCCGAAAUGGAGGACACCCAACAGGGAUCAGCAUCAUUUGAUACUUACCACGCUGGAAGGCUUGAUCGUAGCACAGAUACUCGUACAGCUUCUGUGCACCGUACACUUCGUUUUCGAUAAUUUUCCGCUGCCGCGCAUUGACGCACUCCCUCAGAUACUGGCGGACGCAUUCCAUUCCGCGGUUGAAGAUUCUUGUUUGAGGAGGGCACAACAAAACAAAUGGCAAUGCAAGCAUGAACUCGGUAUGUGGGCGUCUCCAUUAGAGUGUACUCUUCAGUCUGUGACAGUGAUAACGCAUCGUACCGGACGAAGAUGGCAAGGAGAGCAAUAUCGAACCCUGUCAUGUAAUCGUUUACUUUAUCCGUGCGUUUCGAGGAUCUUUGUUUUAAUCGUAACUCUCGCAAACUCCCCGAGGGGCGUAAGCAUCACUUUCGGAAAAGCGAUUGACGGGUUUUACCCGCCGGUGUUUAGUUGGAAAUAGUUUAUACCGUCCCACCAUUCCGUCGGAUAAACGACCCAUUCAACUCGUUCUCGCUAAUCAGUGUGAAGCUAAAGCAUGCCAAACAUCACAAUGCCGCAAGCAAUCUGCCGUGUAGGAUUCGUUACUACGGACUGGGAAGAUUGUUUUGCGCUAAUUGACUUAUUUCUAGGCAGAUAAUGUUGGGCCGUCCCUAAUCAAGCGGAAAUAUUCGCACGAAAUAUCCACCACACGCAAGAAGCCGAGCUACGUGGGUGAAGAAGCGUGGGUAGGGUUUGUCCCUUUGACUUUGC